AGGAUGAACAACGGUGCUGGUUCGCCGUGCCCACAACGGGCGCGGCGUCGUAAGAGGGAACCCGGUGCGAGUCCGGGACUGCCCCGCAGCGGUGAGUGGGAACGACCGCCGUCAUGAGCACUGGACCGCGAGGUCUGGGAAGCGACGGCCAGUAGGCGACCGUACCGGUCACGCCCACGAGUCCGAAGACCUGCCCGCACCGCGCACGCCAC
rnacentral:ncRNA from 1 species